rnacentral:lncRNA from 1 species
AAAGAAAUUUUCAAUUUAGUUGACGUUUACGGACAAACAUACAAACAUCAAACAUAUCAUCAACCCAACAAAAUAAAGAAGAUGACACUAAACUCUAUGCUUGUGUUGCUUUGAAGUUAAUUGGAGUUGCAGUUUGCUGAAUAAACACCAAUAGUCACUGUCACUUGCAAGAUCACCAGCGGUCAAUGAAGAACACUGCUGGGAUGAUCAUCUAUAUGCUGCUGAUGAUAAUUGCAUAUUCAGUCAUUU